CUGAGUGGCUUAAAAAUGUUAUCUGGCCACCAAGUCAGGUUGAACAAAACAUGAAAGAGACGGCCAUCCAUCGGGCCAAAUGGAUUGGAGAUAAUGGAACCAAAGCAGUCAUGGAAAUAGUUAAAGAGUAUCCAUGUCUCCUCGACAAUCCGGACAUGACAUCCCAGGACUUUUCAAUUCUUAAUCCUGACUCUGCUUCAAAACUCACCGAGAACUGGGUGCCUGUCUUCAAGGAUAAGAUCCUACAGUUCGCCACCCGAGAAAAGCAGGCUGUCCAUUACUUUCCAACUUAGAAACUAUGUCAGCAGGUAAAUGGGAUUACCUGGACUUUUGUUAUACUAAAUGGAGAAGCACUUAAGGAAAAAACAUUGCUACGUCUACGUCUUCGAUAUCAAUUACUCCAAGCAGUGCUCCCCCGUCUGGCAGUUUCUACAGACUGUGGUCUUUGAACUUCUUGGAGAUGAAACUCCAUCAAUAAGAAUUCUACUUGCUUUUUUAUCUGCUGCUAAAGAGUAGUUAUUGUUAGUGAGAACAGCUUUGCUGGUGCAACUUAUUUUGUUUUGAGUUCUUACUGUGACCCUUUCUCUAGAAAAACUGAAUGUAUGCAGUUUGUUAUUGUGACUGAAUGUUAUCUUAUUCUGACAUUGUGCAGAUGCAUAAAGUGUUAAACACGUUCUGAGAAUGUUUUAAAGCCAAUGAUUUUACACUACAAUUGAUUUUACUGUGACAUUUUCUCUAGUAGGAAAUGUAGAAUUUAUGCAGUUUGUUAUUUUUGCAGAAUGUUAACUGAUGAUGAUUUUGUGCAGAGGUGUGUUAAACAAAAUAAAGAAUGUUUUUAUUUCAAAGUUUUUACACACAAUUGAUUAAUUUUUAUUGUGACCAUUUCUUUCUUAGGAAAAUAUAAUUUAUGCAGUUUGUUAUUUUUGCUGAAUGUUAACUGAUGCUGACAUUGUGCAGAUGUGCAUAGUGUUUAACAAGUUAUAAAGUUUGAGAAUGUUUUAAUGUCAAUGUUCUUUUACACUACAGUUGAUGUUUUAUAACCAUUUCUUUCUUAGGAAAUGUAAAAUGUUUUUUUUGCAUAAUGGCCUUUCCUUUUGAACAAUUCUUGUUCUACACAUUAAAAGCUGGCAGGUUAAAAAAAAUAAAAUUGUUUUUUCCCCA